rnacentral:rRNA from 1 species
UACGUAGGGGGCAAGCGUUAUCCGGAAUUAUUGGGCGUAAAGAGCUCGUAGGCGGUCUGUCGCGUCGGCUGUGAAAACCCGGAGCUCAACUCCGGGCCUGCAGUCGAUACGGGCAGACUGGAGUUCGGCAGGGGAGACUGGAAUUCCUGGUGUAGCGGUGAAAUGCGCAGAUAUCGGGAGGAACACCGGUGGCGAAGGCGGUUCUCUGGGCCUGUACUGACGCUGAGGAGCGAAAGCGUGGGGAGCGAACAGG